rnacentral:rRNA from 1 species
AUGGAAGGCGCCGUGGCGCAGAGCAUCCUGAGCAAUGUUGGGCAGCUGGUGGGCGAGGAGUUUCGGCAGCUCCGCGCCGUUGGCGGCGAGGUUGCGGAGCUGAGGGACGAGCUGGCCACCAUGAACGCGCUCCUGCGCAUGCAGACUGAAGCCGAAGAUGGCGCCGUGGACCACUUCAUUCGCGAGUGGAUGAAGCAGCUGCGCGAGCUCGCCUACGACGCCGAGGACUGCGUCGACCUCUACAUAUUCCGCAUAAGGUGCCAGUCGAAAGACGGGUUUCUCGUCUGGUCUAAGCGCCUGCUUGCGACGCUUUUCCCCCGCCAUCGCCUUGCUGGUAACAUCAGGACCCUCCGUGCGCGCGCUGUCACCAUCAGCGAGCGCCAUGCCCGGUAUGGCGUCAGCCGCGAGGCGCUGCACCGGUCUCCUUCCGUAGCCCCAGUGAUGGCGGCGGCGUCGUCCGCGAAAGCGCUCCGCCCUGCCAACGACCCUGACCAGUUCGUCGGCAUCGAGGACCAGGCAAACAUCCUAGCCAAAAGGGUGAAGGCCAUGGUGCAUGACAAUAGCGAAGAACGUGACAAGAAUCUCAAGGUGUUCUCCAUCGUGGGAUUUGGAGGGCUCGGAAAGACAACGUUGGCCAUGGAGGUGUGCCGGCAGCUGGAGACAGAGUUCGACCGGCAAGCGCAAGUGUCGGUGUCUCAGAUGUUCGAUGGUGGGAACGAUCUCAAGGAACUGCUGAAGCGCGUGCUUCAGCAGAUCGUUAAGAACAAAGCAGCUAAUGAAAAAGGAAUAGAGGAAGAGGAUCCAUUGGCUGGCAUCGACACCAUGGAUGUGAACAAACUUGCCGACAAGCUUGAGGACCUACUUAAAGAGAAGAGGUACCUGAUUGUGAUCGAUGAUGUAUGGACUGUAGCAGCAUGGGAUGCAAUCCAUUCCAAGUUGCCAGAAAACAAAUGCGGCAGCAGAAUCAUUGUAACCACUCGAAUAGAGACUGUGGCCAAAGAAUGCAGUGAUCCAAGUGUUGGCGAUUAUUGCAUCUACCGCAUUCAACCACUCAAUCCAGAAUACUCUAGGAAGUUGUUCCUCAGUAGAGCAUUUGGCUCUAUGGACGCUCCUUGCCAUGAAGGGCUAGCAGAUACAAUGGAAGAUAUUUUGAAGAAGUGUGCUGGGCUGCCGUUAGCAAUUGUUAGCAUUGCCAGCCUGUUGGCAAGCUAUAAAUAUCCAGAGAGGAAAGAUAUGUGGGAGACAGUUUGUAAAUCAAUUGGUUCGCAGAUGGAGAGCAACCCUACCCUCGAGGGGAUGAGUCAAAUACUCACACUCAGUUUCAACCACCUGCCUUAUCACAUCAAGUGUUGCAUGAUGUAUCUAAGCCUUUUCCCUGAGGAUUAUGAAAUCAACAAGAAUAGGCUCUUGUACAGAUGGAUCGCCGAAGGAUUGAUCGAGGAGAAGCGGGGAUUGACUUUGUUGGAGGUUGCAGAAUCCUACUUCGAUGAGUUGAUGAGUAGGAGCAUGAUCGAUCCAGCCUCCUCUAUAGGGUUCGAUGGGAGGAGGGAGGCGUGCCGCGUGCACGACAUGAUGCUCGAGGUCAUGGUGUCCAGAUCCCUAGAGGCUAACUUUGUUAGCGUAGUACUCCCUCCGUUCAUAAAUAUAAGUCUUUCUAGAGAUUUCACUAUGGACUAUAUACGGAUGUAUAUAGACUUAGUUUAG